rnacentral:rRNA from 1 species
GUCUACGGCCAUUCCACCCUGAACAAGCCUGAUGUCUGAUCUCAGAAGCUAAGUAGGGUUGGGCCUGAUCAGUACUUGGGUGAGAGACCACCUAGGAAGACCAGGUGCUAUAGGCA